rnacentral:rRNA from 1 species
UUUGAUGGCGACCGGCGCACGGGUGAGUAACACGUAUCCAACCUGCCGAUGACUCGGGGAUAGCCUUUCGAAAGAAAGAUUAAUACCCGAUGGUAUAAUAAAGCCACAUGGUUUAAUUAUUAAAGAAUUUCGGUUAUCGAUGGGGAUGCGUUCCAUUAGGCAGUUGGUGAGGUAACGGCUCACCAAACCUUCGAUGGAUAGGGGUUCUGAGAGGAAGGUCCCCCACAUUGGAACUGAGACACGGUCCAA